rnacentral:piRNA from 1 species
AUUUAUUAAUGGUCAUGUAAAGCCGC